rnacentral:lncRNA from 1 species
AUGCUCAAAAUUCUACAAGCCAGGCUUCAGCAAUACGUGAACUGUGAACUUCCUGAUGUUCAAGCUGGUUUUAGAAAAGUUUCCUCUGAUCAGAGGAACCAGAGAUCAAUUGCCAACAUCCGCUGGAUCAUGGAAAAAGCAAGAGAUUUCCAGAAAAGCACCUAUUUCCACUUUAUUGACUAUGCCAAAGCCUUUGACUGUGUGGAUCACAAUAAACUGUGGAAAAUUCUGAAAGUGAUGCGAAUACAAGACCACCUGACCUGCCUCUUGAGAAACCUAUAUGCAGGUCAGGAAGCAACAGUUAGAACUGGACAUGGAACAACAAACUGGUUCAAAAUAGGAAAAGGAGUACAUCAAGGCUGUAUAUUGUCAUCCUGCUUAUUUAACUUAUAUGCAGAGUACAUCAUGAGAAAUGCUGGACUGGAAGAAACACAAGCUGGAAUCAAGAUUGCAGGGAGAAAUAUCAAUAACCUCAUAUAUGCAGAUGACACCACCCUUAUGGCAGAAAGUGAAGAGGAACUCAAAAGCCUCUUGAUGAAAGUGAAAGAGGAGAGUGAAAAAGUUGGCCUGAAGCUCAACAUUCAGAAAACGAAGAUCAUGGCAUCUGGUCCCAUGACUUCAUGGGAAAUAGAUGGGGAAACAGUGGAAACAGUGUCAGACUUUAUUUUUUUGGCCUCCAGAAUCAUUGCAGAUGGUGAUUGCAGCCAUGAAAUUAAAAGACUCUUACUCCUUGGAAGAAAAGUUAUGACCAACCUAGAUUGCAUAUUGAAAAGCAGAGACAUUACUUUGCUGACUAAGGUCCGUCUAGUCAAGGCUAUGGUUUUUCCAGUAGUCAUGUAUGGACGUGCGAGUUGGACUGUGAAGAAGUCUGAGUGCCGAAGAAUUGAUGCUUUUGAACUGUGGCGUUGGAGAAGACUCUUGAGAGUCCCUUGGACUGCAAGGAGAUCCAACCAGUCCAUUCUGAAGGAGAUCAGCCCUGGGAUUUCUUUGGAAGGAAUGAUGCUAAAGUUGAAACUCCAGUACUUUGGCCACCUCAUGUGA